GUCUCUUGAAAUUUGUUUCUUUCAAGUUUAAUGCUCAAAAGAAAACAAAAUGUCAUUAAUUUGACAGUCAUGCAUAAGAAAAGAGCACUUUCCUCUGUGAAGUAAUAUAUCAUAAGGGUUGAGAAUGCAAGCUGCCACUUGCUAGCUGUGUGGUCUUGGGCAGGUCACUUAACCUCUCUGUGCUUCAGUGUCCAUCCUUGAAUGACUUGGAUAUCUGGAUGGCAAUGUGCCAAGUGGCAUAUGCCUUUUCUACCAAACACCUUGUUGAUUACGAGCGCUUAACAUAUGCAAAGUAAGUCAUGCUUUCUCUAUCAGGCAGUAUUCUCAUCUGCAAGCUGCUGUUAACCACCAUGCUUUGCUGCAAUAAGGAGAUUUACUGGAAAGCCAGGGGAAGUUCACAGAAUAGAAAAGAGGCAGUUUGGAAAAAGGGCAGGAGUCAAGGAUGCCACGGAAGCAGCAGCAAGAGCGACGCCCCAUCACUCCGGGGACUGGUCUGGCCUGGGAGCUCCUCUGCCACCCAGAUGCAUCUGGCAUGGCUCUUCCCGCCCUCCUCCCUGCACUGUAUCAGGAGUGGGUAAAAGAUAUCUCUGACCCCCUUGGUUUCCGUAAUGGGAGGUGGCAAUGGAAAGCAGUCACUGGGAUCUGUCCUCUUGCCAAGAUUACAUACAAUGGAAAAUUCUACCAGUAGGAAUAUGUGGUGCCUAGAGUGGAGGUGUGUAGAUUCUGGGAAAAAUCAGAAAAAUCACAGAUCUCUGCUUUACUUGUAUAAGACUUCAAAUUUUCCUCAGUAACUCUGUGAGCAGUGAUAUGCUGGUAAGUGUUUAACAGCUGGCUCUCUGGCCAUGAUUUGUAGCACUUGUACAUUUCCACAGGGCAAAUACCCCUACUGUGGCCAAUUUCAUGAUACUACAUGACAUCUGAGCACAGUUGGAAAUACACAGUAACAUACUACUGUAUAACAUUUCAGCCAUACAGCUACAACAGAUGUAAAUAAUCUCAAGUGCAUAGAUGAUAGUAAAAUGUGGUGAGACAAUGAGGAAGAGAUGAGUUUUGAGUAUUUAUUACCUUUGUUAACAUAAUUUAAUUGUAAGUUUAUAUGAUUUAAUUUUUAAUCAUAGCUGUAUUUAGCAAAUGGCUUGCAGAAUUUUUGAGAGAAAAACUUUGAGCCAGUUCCAGCAUACCACUGCCCAUGAGGUGGAUCAAUAAUGUUAUUGAGAGAGAGAUUUAGAGAUCUGAGAGAUUCCUUACACAGUAGGAUGUUUGGUGGAGAGGCCUAGGACCUGGGAAUUUUGCACAGCAGUCUAUAACACUGGGGACUCUCAGUAAAAGAAUAAUAAUAGUACCUGGCAUUUACUUAGGAAAACACAUUCUUACUCAACAUCCCACUCAUUUUUGAUCCUCACAACAAAUCCAAGGAAAAGGUAAGCAAGGUGUGUUACAGGUGAGGGGACGGAGAGUCAGAGAGCUGAAGUGACCACUGACACGUGGAGCCGAGACUAGAAUUGGGUCCUUGAGACUUCCAGUUCACAGCUUUUUCCAUACCAUCCUGCUUCUUUGAACCGCCUGCCAUCACUGGGAGAGCCACUUAUUAUAAGCAGCCCAUUAAAUAAUCCGGGAUGUGUAUGUCAGGCCUUAUUCCCCAAAUUCAUUCCAGGGGCCUCUCCUGUAUCUUCACAAAUAAAGAAUGAAAUAAAGUUGGAGGCUCAUAGAGUGGGCAGUGAUAACCCAUUGCAUUAGCAGCUUUGAUAGUCAGACCCCAAGAUGGCCACCAAUGAUCCUUACCCCCUGGUGUUCAUGUCCUUGGACCCCUACACCGAAGAGGGCUGGCCUUGUGACCAGUAGGAUACUGCAGGAAUGAUGGUAUAUGACUUCUGAAGCCAGCCGUAAAUGGCACUGCAGCUUCUGCCUUGUUCUUUUGGAUCACUGGGGGAAGUGCUCUCAGCUCUUGUGCUCUGGGGGAAGUCAGCAGAGGGUUGUGCAGACACCCAAGCAGCCCUGUGGAGAAGCCCACAUUGGAAGGAACUGAGGCCUCCCACCAACAACCAGCACUACUUGCCCCCCAUAUCAGUGAGCCACCUUGGAAGUGGAUUCUCCAGCUCCAGACAAGCUUUCAGAUGACAGCCACCUUGGCUAACACCUGACAGAACCGCAUAAGAAACCCCAAGUCAAAAUCACCCACCUAAGUGCUCCCAAAGGAUUGACCCACCGAAACUGAGAGAUGACCAAUGUUUAUGUUGUUUUAAGCCACUUAGUUUUUGGGUAAUUUGUUACACAGCAAGAGUUCAACUGGAUUUCUUUCAGAGCUGCACCAUAUGGGCUGUGGGUGAUCUUAAUCCACUACAGAGAGGUGUUAGGGGCUUAAGCGAGCACUUUAAGUAAAUUGUUGUGUUGUUUUUGUUUUCCCCCAAAGAAAUUGAACUCUAAGUCAACAUUGGAGGGCUUUGUACAAUAUAACGUGAAAUGCAUUUUCUCUUUAAUGCUUUUCUAAGUAAAUCUAAUGCUUGUGUAACAUUUUUUUUCCUAUUGUUACCCACAAAAAUGUGCACUCUAUACUGAGUGCACCUGCAACUCUGAAGAGCAAGGCAGCUUGACCUGGCAUUCACUCAGGCGCCCUUAAGUCAUCCCACAGCCCUCAGACCCCACCUUCACUGUCCCCUUUGAUACUUUUGGGUCUCUGGGCCAUGGCAUCGCCUGCCCUUUGGGAAAGCCUGAACAAGGGAAAAUAAUGAAGCUAAUUAAUUAGGAAGGGAGGGGGCUAGAGACCCCACUGGAUGUUGCGGCUGGAGACCUUAAGAUCAUUAGCAGAACACCAGCCCUAACACCGUCCGGGAGGCUGAGCCUAGAAAAAUCCGCUCGUUCCCAAGAGCUCAGGAGAGGAUCUCAGCGUAGACAGGCUGUCGUGCCUACCGGGAGGGUGGGAGCCGGGAUCACCCCAGCUCCUUGGCGCGUUUCCUCCGAGCUGGAGGAGGCCGAGGGUGGACCCCGGAGCCGUUGCCCAAGGCGAGGCGCCCGAGCGCCGGCGCGGGGAGACCGGAGGUGGGACGCGGCAGGCUGCGCCUUGCAGGCCAGAGGCAACGGGUGCGGAGCGCGCACGGCCCCUGAGAGCCGGCGCCUUCAGCAUGGAGUGGGAGCUCAACUUUCUGCUCUACCUGGCGCUCUUUUUCUUUCUGCUCUUCUUACUUUUCCUCCUGCUCUUCGUAGUCAUCAAGCAGCUGAAGAACUCCGUGGCCAGCACUGCCGGGGCGCUGCAGCCCGGGCGCCUCUCGCUGCACCGGGAGCCUUGGGGCUUCUCCCACGAGCAGGGGGUGUGACCGGCGCCGCGCGGACACUGGCAGGAGGGCAUGGAGCUGUUCGGGCACCGAGCUGGGUCUCGGCCUCGAUUCUCUGGCCGCCCGGGUUCGAGGGCCAGGCUCGGCUGCCUCGCUGGCAGAUGCUUUUUCCUCGGUUUAUGCCGUCUCAAGUUCUGGAGCCGAGCUGCUGCUCUGGGCUGGGGUGUGGAGGACCGCGGAUGCAGUUACAGCCGGGUAACCGGGCUGGAAACACCAGAGAUGGACGUUUUCUGCGACGUGCCACGGGUAUCCAGAGGUUUAAAUCACCCCUGACUCUUCUAGACAGGAGACUAUAGAGAACUCAGGGUGAGUAGUUUGCUGCCAUCCCAGUAUUAAGCCAAUCUCUUUGCUGGUUCUACUGACUGAGUUUCCUACGAAAAGAGUGAUUGCCUUUCUCUCUUGUGGCCAGUGCCAUUUUAUAACCUCCUCAGAAUCUAAUUCAUUAACUACUAAGUUCCCAUUUAUCCAGGCAAAAAUGAAUAUUUAUUCCUAUUACCCAAUCUCUGCCUGGAACUUGGCCCUAAAAUCUGGUAGUUAAGGACUCUCACAAGUUCUCUCAGAACUUGCUGCUGUUGACCUCCUGCUUUGCCCUUGCUUUGUUAGAGAUCUUGCUUUUGAAACUUUGACAUCUCUACAUGAGCUGCCCUCUUCCAUUCAUUUAUUCAAUCCUCAUUUUUAAGAACCCAACAUAGAUCGAUCUCUCACAUUAGAACUACUUUCGAACUCAAAUUUUGUGCUACCUAUAUGCAUUUUUAAUCUAGCCCUCUGACACCCACAAUGGCCUAGGUGCCAGGCUUGUACACAUUGGCUGCUCUAUCCACCACACCCUGGUGCUGACAAUCACUCCACCAAGUCUGUUUUUGAAGACAGUGUACAUAUGAGCUAGGCAUUAAAACAUUUUGAAAAGUCAGGAACAUUUAAGAUAACUGCUCAUUAUAGAAGUGUAACUUGAUUAUAGAAAAUUGCUGUGUUUUAUUUUCAAUAUAAGGUUUUUAGUGACUCUUCAGCAACGUUAGAAACUGAGUUGAAUUUCUUACAUUAUAUGGAAAUGGGCCAUAAUUCGAUUGUUACAUAAUAUUAGUAUUCUGUUUCAACUGUUCUUAUUUCAUUGUUGUUUCUAAAUUUCAGCUGUUUAAAAAGACUUCAAAUCUUAUUAGGAUAAUCUCGAUUGUUCCACUGAUUUCCAAACUUGUAAGUGCAAUGAAUCUGCAGUUCUACUUGGAAAGAUAAUCAUUUUAAGUUGAAUGAGAAUGACAUCACAAUCAUACCUGUGAAAUCUAAAAUGUCUAAUAAAGUAGAUUCCUAUGUCUGAACUUCAAUUUUAAGGCACAGCUGUGGAUGCAGGACUGAUGCCAUCUGGUGCGAGUCCACAGAAUAAGAGAGAAAAUUUACCCAGGGUGUGCCAUGCACUGGCUUUUCUGGGAAUGACAAGGUGCCAGGAUUUGUUUUUGGUUCACUUGCAGGGGUGGAAACUUGGAACUAGAUAAAAAUUUUCUUAUUGGGAAUCAAGGUGGAUUGCUAUCUUGAAAUUACUGGACUGAACAGCGGCAUUAACAAAGUAGGGGUUUCGUUUUGUUCUCAUGUAACAAGGAGGUUGAGGGUCGGCUAGUACUGGUGUUGGUUCAGCAGCUCACAGAUGUCAGCGUCAAGGUGGCCCCUGAGGUUCCCAUGGCUUUUCCCGUAGGUUCCAAGAUGGUUGUUACAGUUCCCCUCAAGAAGAUGGAGGAAACCCAAAGGGAAAACAGAGCAUGCCAGUUUGAGUCCACUUCCGUUUAAAGAGCUUUCGGCAGCCCAGCAACUUUUGCUUACAUCUCAUUGGCCAGACUGUGUCAUUGGCUCCUGCUAUGUCUUAAGAUUGGCUGAGAAAGGUAGUUUUUGUAGCUGGACAUACAACUGCCUUCAACAAAAAUCUGAGUUCUCUUGAUAAGGAAGAAGAUAAUGGUGGAUCUUGGGUGAACAACUUGUAGUCUGUGCCCUGGAUACAAAAUACAGUAGUAAAGAAGCAUGAUGCUUGAAACAUAUCAAAACUGUAGCUCCUUCACAACUGGCAACUCCAAGCAACACUGCUGUGCUCUGAGAGAGUGAGUAGAGUGAAGACGUGUUAGGUUUUCUCAUGAAACACUUACCAGGACUGCCCUUCUCUAUCAGCCCUUGCCCCUAUCAGGCUUUUCUAGAGGAAGAUGCUGGGAAGCUGCACACUGUCUUGGAGGACAUAAUCUCUUCAUGGAGGUUUGAAAUGGGAUGAGGAAUGUUCUCCCUUGCUACUUCCACAUCUGCUUCAUUUAUCUCUUCUCUGAUUUUCCUGACAAAUUUUUGGUGGAAUCUAGUUGUGUAUUUGAUCCCCAUAAAAGGAUCAUUUCUUUCAUGCACAGGGGAGGGUAAUCUAUGUGAAGAAAGGCUACUUUACUCCCUUCUGUGACUCCACCACCAAUCUAGGAAUAUCCUGGAAGAAUUGCUUCUCAGAGCUGCUUCCAUAAGCAGCCUACAUCCUGGCUAAGCAAAGGGAGAAGAAACACUUCCCACAUCCAGGGCUGUCCAAAAGAACUUUCUGUGAUGACAGAAAUGUUCUAUAUUGGAACUGUCUUAUAUGGUAGCCACUAGCCACAUGUGGUUGGCAAACACUUGAAAUGUGGCUACUGUGAUUGAGGAGGUAAAUUUUAAUUUUAUUUACUUUUAAAUAAUUUAAAUGUAAAUAGCCACAUGUGGCCAGUGUCUAUUGUGCUGUAGAGCAUAGUACAUACCUUUCUCUUUCCUGCGUUUUAGAACUUGCUGGGUGUGUGUAUGGGGAAGGGGGUGGUUAGAGCCACUACGUAAGUCACAUGCUUGGUGUUCCAUGGUCUUCACUGUUCCACCUUGCCAUUGAACUUGUCUCUCAGAGGAAAAGGAAACAUGGUAUUUUGGAACUAAAUUCAAGAUGUUAACUUGACAUUUACACAUUGAACGUAUGUAUAAGUGGAAUGGUCUCCUGGGAACAGAUCCUGUGAUUGAUUUUAGUAAUAAAUGAUGAUGGGAAAGGGGUAGUGCUGGUCAUUUAACAUUCCUAGUGAACAUUAUGUGUUCCUAGUCAAAGUCAGCAGAGAUUAUUUUAUUCUGUUGUGUAAUUCAUUCUGUGUUACUUUAUUUUUUUAAUAUUGUGGCUGCUAAAUGAUACUUCAUGUCUGUUUUUCAAAAUACUUCGUGGUUUAUACUUUUAAAAGGCUGUGAAAUAAAAAAAUAAUUAUAUGUAACUCA